rnacentral:rRNA from 1 species
GACGAACGCUGGCGGCGUGCCUAAACAUGCAAGUCGAACGCGAGGGCCCCUCGGGGCCUGGGAGUGGCGAACGGCGGAGUAAUACGUAAGCAACGUGCCCUAAAGCUCGGGAUAUACCGGGGAAACCCGGGGCAAUACCGGAUGUGGUCGGAGCCCGGCAUCGGGAACCGAUUAAAUGGUUUUUCCGCUUUAGGAGCGGCUUACGGCCUAUCAGCUAGUUGGUGGGGUAACGGCCUACCAAGGCAUCGACGGGUAACUGGUCUGAGAGGACGACCAGUCCGAGUGGGACUGAGACACGGCCCACACACCUACGGGUGGCAGCAGUUGGGAAUCUUGCACAAUGGGGGCAACCCUGAUGCAGCGACGCCGCGUGGAGGACGAAGGAUUUAGGUCUGUAAACUCCUUUUUGCCAGGAAAAGACUUAGGACGGUACCUGGCGAAUAAGCUCCGGCUAACUACGUGCCAGCAGCCGCGGUAAUACGUAGGGAGCAAGCGUUGUCCGGAUUUACUGGGCGUAAAGGGCGCGUAGGCGGUCUACCAAGCGUGAAGUGAAAUCUCCAGGGCUCAACCCGGAAACUGCUUCGCGAACUGGCAGACUAGAGGAAGGUAGAGGUGAAUGGAAUUCCUGGUGUAGCGGUGACAUGCAUUGAUAUCAGGAGGAACACCCGUGGCGAAGGCGGUUCACUGGGCCUUUCCUGACGCUGAGGCGCGAAA